rnacentral:tRNA from 1 species
GAGCGUGGCGCAGUCUGGUAGCGCACUACACUGGGGGUGUAGGGGUCGUAGGUUCAAAUCGCGUAUCGCACA